UGCAAGAGGCCAACAGACUCAUCAAGU
rnacentral:piRNA from 1 species